rnacentral:rRNA from 1 species
GAUGAACGCUGGCGGCGUGCCUAAUACAUGCAAGUCGAGCGAAUGGAUUAAGAGCUUGCUCUUAUGAAGUUAGCGGCGGACGGGUGAGUAACACGUGGGUAACCUGCCCAUAAGACUGGGAUAACUCCGGGAAACCGGGGCUAAUACCGGAUAACAUUUUGAACCGCAUGGUUCGAAAUUGAAAGGCGGCUCCGGCUGUCACUUAUGGAUGGACCCGCGUCGCAUUAGCUAGUUGGUGAGGUAACGGCUCACCAAGGCAACGAGGCGUAGCCGACCUGGGGGGGUGAUCGGCCACACUGGGACUGAGACACGGCCCAGACUCCUACGGGAGGCAGCAGUAGGGAAUCUUCCGCAAUGGACGAAAGUCUGACGGAGCAACGCCGCGUGAGUGAUGAAGGCUUUCGGGUCGUAAAACUCUGUUGUUAGGGAAGAACAAGUGCUAGUUGAAUAAGCUGGCACCUUGACGGUACCUAACCAGAAAGCCACGGCUAACUACGUGCCAGCAGCCGCGGUAA